GUCUAUGGCCAUGCCACCCUGAACAAGCCCGAUCCCGUCUGACCUUGGAAGCUAAGCAGGGUCAGGCCUGGUUAGUACUUGGAUGGGAGACCGCCUAGGAAGACUAGGUGUUGUAGGCA
rnacentral:rRNA from 1 species